GUUCCUGACUUUAUUAGAUAUUUUGCUACGUUGUUUGUCGUAUGUUUUAAAACUACUUAUCGCUGUGAGUUAUUUGAAUUUGGUAUUUGCAUUCAAUAAAUUGUUCCUUGUGAAAUAAAUAUAUAUAAUAUAGUUUCUACUACUAUUAAUGAUAUUGUCCGUAAUUAGACAUUUCGAAUAAUGCCAACUUGUUAUCGCCACAUAUUGCACAAAUUUUGGUUCAAAUUAAUUCUUUAAUCGAAGUUGGCAUAUAUAUAUAUAUAUAUAUAUAUAUAUAUAUAUA